AGCUCCGGGGUGAGAUCACGCUAAAUUGCAAGUUUAGAGAAGCACCUAAAAGUGCCGGGGCUU
rnacentral:tRNA from 1 species